rnacentral:rRNA from 1 species
AUUGAACGCUGGCGGUAUGCUUAACACAUGCAAGUCGAACGGUAACAGGCCUUCGGGCGCUGACGAGUGGCGGACGGUGAGUAACGCGUAGGAAUCUGCCUCAUAGUGGGGGACAACGUGGGGAAACUCACGCUAAUACCGCAUACGCCCUACGGGGGAAAGCGGGGGAUCUUCGGACCUCGCGCUAUGAGAUGAGCCUGCGUUAGAUUAGCUAGUUGGUAGGGUAAAGGCCUACCAAGGCGACGAUCUAUAGCUGGUCUGAGAGGACGAUCAGCCACACUGGGACUGAGACACGGCCCAGACUCCUACGGGAGGCAGCAGUGGGGAAUAUUGGACAAUGGGCGCAAGCCUGAUCCAGCAAUACCGCGUGUGUGAAGAAGGCCCUA